rnacentral:tRNA from 1 species
GCUAAGAAAGUUAAAAUGAUCUAACAGAGAGUCUAAAACUCUCGGGAAGAGAGUUUAAUUCUCUCUCUUAGUAUA